AACUAACGCUGGCGGCGUGCCUAACACAUGCAAGUCGAACGAGAAAGUUGGCUUCGGCCGAUGAGUAAAGUGGCGCACGGGUGAGUAACGCGUGGAUAAUCUGCCCUUUAGUUUGGAAUAACGUACCGAAAGGUGCGCUAAUACCGGAUAAUACUGAAUGACUACUGUCGUUUAGUCAAAGAAGGCUUCUGUUUACAUGCUUUUGCUGAAGGAUGAGUCCGCGUACCAUUAGCUAGUUGGUAGGGUAAUGGCCUACCAAGGCGACGAUGGUUAGCUGGUCUGAGAGGAUGAUCAGCCACACUGGAACUGAGACACGGUCCAGACUCCUACGGGAGGCAGCAGUGAGGAAUAUUGCGCAAUGGGGCAACCCUGACGCAGCAACGCCGCGUGAGUGAGGAAGGUUUUCGGACCGUAAAGCUCUGUCGAGCGGGAAGAAUAGCAUGGUGGCGUAAUAUCCAUCAUGCUUGACGGUACCGCUAAAGG
rnacentral:rRNA from 1 species